UCUCCUGUAGCUUUCAGCCAAUGGCAAGACAAAAACAAUAACUGAGCAAUACAUAAAUGGAUAGGCAGAUAGUCACUAUCAGGUAGUGGUAAGAGCUAGGGAGAGAAACAGAAUGGCCAUGGGAGAGACAAAAUAUACUCUGGACAGGAUAGCCAGGCCUGGACUCCUAUGAGGAAAUAAUAUCCCUAUGACAGCAACAGGGUCACACCCUAUUCACCCCAUUCCCCAAAUCAGUCAUCCAGUCUUACUCUCUCCCGAUCUUUAAAGUGACAGGCAAUAUCCGUGAAGGUCUUGUAUAAAGUCCCAAACUAGUGACUCUUACCAAGGGUGACUUUGCUCUGUGCAGUGACUCUGUGGCCCUGGAUCUAUUCAUCUGUGGUUCUACUAUCUCCAAUGUGUAGAGUCUAAAGCCAUUACCCAGGCCUGCAUCAGGGGGGAGAGAUUUCCAAGUCUUAUUCCAUCAAACAGCCAAAAGACUUUCUGUCUGCUUCUCUCUCUGUAUCUUCUCCAACCUCUCUAUCUUCUCCCCUAUCAUUUCUGGCCCCUCUGUUUCUACAAAGAAGGCAGGGACAGAUCAAUGCAGAC
rnacentral:lncRNA from 1 species